UACGUAGGGCGCAAGCGUUAUCCGGAAUUAUUGGGCGUAAAGAGCUCGUAGGCGGUUUGUCGCGUCUGCCGUGAAAACUCGAGGCUCAACCUCGAGACGCCGAUGGAAACCCUCCAGCUAGAGUCCGGAAGAGGAGAGUGGAAUUCCUGGUGUAGCGGUGAAAUGCGCAGAUAUCAGGAAGAACACCCGUGGCUAAGGCGGCUCUCUAGUACGGUACUGACGCUGAGACGCGAAAGCGUGGGGAGCGAACAGG
rnacentral:rRNA from 1 species